GCAGCAGGUAGGGAAGGACCCGGCAGCACCGUGGGAACCAAAGGCGAACUUCGAAUAUUAGCUUCAAGCGGCGUCUCCAGGUUCAAGCAGGUUUUAGAAUCAUAGAAUCAGAUCUGUAACGCCACAGUGCUUUUAAACCCCCAGCUAAAAGCUUGACUUGUGUUAUUUUUACAUCGCCUUCGGAGGAGAAAGUCACAGGGAGCUGCCCUCCGCUUCUGCACGGGGAGCCGGCGGCUCCGGGCAGCAUCGCAGCAGCAGUGCAAGUACUCACCCGUCAUCAGCGUGUAGUAAUUUGGGUAGGAGAGGCUGGGGAAGUCCGGAGUCAUGUAGUCCACCUUCACCCCCAUGUUCACAAUGUCCCGAAAGCCCGGCAGCCCCUCCAGCUCGCUGUCGUCGAUGUAGUCGAAGCGAAAGCCGUCGAGAAGGAAGACAAGGAGCUUGCGGUGGGCGGCGGGGGCGGCGGGGGGAGGCAGGAGGGCUGCCAGGGCAGCGGCGACGAGGGCGACGGGGAGGCUGCGGCUCCGCAUGGCUGGCAGCGGCCGGGGAUCUGCAGCAGCGCCGGGAGAGGCCGGGGAUCCGCGGCAGGCUCGGCACCGCCGUGUCCUCCCUCCCGCUUCCAGCGCCCGCUUUAAAGCUACAGCGCUGCCCCGGGCGUGGGAGGUCACGGCUUAAUUGCGGGUAGAUGAUUGACUUUAGAGCAAGGGGGAAGAGCCUGGUACUUCCCAGCUAUCGGGAAACAGCCCGAAAAAAGGAAAAAGCUUCUCAGCGAUGGGGAAACGCGGCGCAGGAGUGAGCGGAGGCUGCGCGGAGGCUCGGGCGAGGGAGGGCGGCUGGCUGGCUGUCCGGCCCCGGGCGCGCAGGGAGCGCAGCGGCCAGUCGCGCCGCACCGCACCGCCGCGCACCCCGCGCCGGGGCUGCGGCUGCCGAGCUCUGGCUCAGAGCGGCUGCUCGCUGCCCGGCACAGCCUUACCUCUCCGGCCGCGUGAACGUGCACUUUGCUCUCAUCUCCCAGGCGGUGCCUUGUGAUGGAAACUCGGACUGAGGUUAAGGCAGAGCGUCUCCCCGGUUCGGAAGGAGUGGAGAUAAUCCUUCAUUUGACAUCCUGCUUCUUGCUGUUCAAGCAGUUUAUCGUACACUUGAGUGAAAUCAUACCUUUGUUUUUCUCGGGAAUCUGUCCCCAGUGUGGAGCCUUUAAUACUCCAGCUUUAGCCAACAUAGCUCACCAUUAAUACACUGGGAGAAAGGAGUCAGUCUGUUUCUCCAGCCUCGUCUGUACUGACACUAGGUGUCAGCCCAAACCCACGAGUACUUCUGCUCCGGUCUGCAAAGAGGUUCAUACCAACCCAUGGAGGAGCCGCCUAGGACAGCUUUCAGCUACCCUGGAAGUCCUCAUCCCUGAAGAAAGAAGGGUUGUUGCAUUGCAAUGACAAGGAGUGGGGGGGAAAGGGAAAGAGGCUCUGCUCCUGGCCUGGAUCCUGGUAACACUUCAUUACAUGACAGUUGCUAUGGCCACUAAAGGGGAGGCAGCGAGGAGCAGUGCUACAAUGCUGGCAGGAGCCGCCACAGCUUCCCAGAAGCUGAGCAUCACAGCCUGAAAUCUUUGAAAUGGUGAAGAUGUUUUGUUGUGCAGGGGGGAUGGAAAUGCUCCCACCUCAGAACAGCUGUACCUGUUUGUUUCUUACACCUCGCCAGAGGACCACUGGAGAGAGGCUGUUGCUGCUGGGGCUGUCUCUGCUCAUCACUGUCAUAUGACCCAUUUGUGCAACCUCUGGUCCAGACCUUGGUGCACCUGCUUCCCAUCCAAAUCCGCUUUGCCAAAGAGCUUGCAGCAGAUCAGGUCUUGGUGUUUCUUCUUCUCUGUAUCCUUUUGUUAGAGAUAAAUUUCAGUUCCAGAACAACAGUGAAACUCAUCCACUUCAGUGCCCUCACUGACACCCUGCAAAAUAUCUGCAGCAACUACUUAGAAAGAGUUGCUCAGCUCGUGUGCUGAUGGUGAUGUUGAUGCCCACAGUAGACAGACUCAGACACUGCCCAGUGUGGCCUCCACAGGGGACGAACAUCUUGGGAUUCCACCAAGAAGUCUAUUUUAAUAUGUCUCUGCUCCACAACGUAGUAUGGGGUUAAAUUGUGUGGUGGUUACUUACUGACUGCUUGCAGUGAAGCUACGGGGUAGGAUGGGAGUGCCCUGUCACUCCCCAGGGCUGUGGGGCAGCUCCAUCUUCCGCAGCACUCUGCUAACACUCAGACUCUCAGGGCAUGCCUGGGAGCAGGUUUUUUGCUUUCUAAGGCAGGCAGUGACUUUUCAGCAAGCUUUUCAGUGUGGUUUGUACUUUCUAAGAAGUGAGCUGAAGCGAAGCCCGACAGACAGCUAGUGACAUUGCUUACCUGCCCCAGAGACAGUGGGCACUACUGUACAGGGGAAAAAUCCCUGCAGGUUAGAAGGAAAUGUAAAAACCCCAUCAAACCACUCAAGAGAGGCAGUGAGUUGGUUUGGUUUUUUUCACAAGAACUACCUGGAUGAGACCUCUUUUAGACUUCAGCUGAAUUGAAAGGAGAGGGUGUGUUAUUGCUACUAGAAACAUUUUUAAAUCUGACCUAAAAAUCACACGAAACUGCAGCCUCAAAGUAGAUUUAUUUACAGGCUUAGGUCUAAAAAAAUCCCUGUGUGUGAGGAAGAGGUUAUUCUUCAGUCAGCACGCAAAACUGGAGCUAGGGGGAUGGAUAGUGGACUUGAUGGCUUCUGGAGUGUGUCUUUGCCAGGAGACAUCCCCUUUCUAAGGCAGCUUCAGCUAUAUCAGGCAGCGGGGCCUUGACAUCUUGAUGGCCUGAUGCCAUGAGGCAAAGAGCUCUGACAGCACACAGAGCUGUACUUUGGCCCACAAGCUUUACUGAGCAAUCUAGCAACAGAGGCUAAACUGGUGUCUGUCAGCUGUGUUGCAUCGGUAGUUUCUCUCUUCUUUUUGAUGUUUAUAUUUAAGGUUUGCUCGCUGGUUUGGGGUUUUUUUUCAUUUCAGUUUCUCUUUAAGCAGAUAGGGGGAAAGGAGACAAGACUGCAUGGGAAAGGAAGUUACUCCUCUCCACAAAGGGAUGAAAGAAAGAAGAGUUAUGCGUUACUCUUGUCUAGCCUUAUCUUGUCACUUCUACAGCUGGAUUAAGCUCUUUCUUUUUACUUUUGCCGUGUUCUUUGCUGUGCCAAGGCACCAUGGUAACACUGAGACACGGCUAUCUGUGGCUAUCUGAUCAAUCUAGCUUUUCAAGGGCCUUACUUUGCAAACUGGAGCAUGGCUCCAAAUUCAAGACCUCACAAACUAUUUACAGGGAAAGGACAAAACUAUGUUGGAGUCUGGAGCACCAUGGUACAACCUUGCUGUUGGUUUGGGGUUUUUAAAUGCUUCUCGUAAGACCCAUCACCCAAAGGAAAGCAGUUGUGCCCAUCCCUAACAGCAGCCUCUGAAGUUAGAUUUCCCCCUUCUGCAUGAUGUUUCCCCACCACUGCCUCUUUCGUUACAGAAGGGGUUUGUCAACCCAUCACCAUAUACAGCAGGACGUGGGGUCCCUGUCUUUGCAACGUUUAAAGAAUCAGUUGUGAUAGUGAUCAGAGAAUUCAUUUAAAAGGCAAUCAUGCCCUGUGAGAUCACAUCUCAUCCUGCAAGACAGUUCCAUAUGAUGUUCCAUACUGUAUGUAUGGGGAGGUAAAGACCCCCAGGCAGUCCUCCAGCCACCUCUGUGUGGUUGGCAGUGCCGUGGCUGUGGGGUUCUGUGGCAGCCCUGUACCAUUGUAAGGAGCCAUGCAAACCAAGGUCGUGCUGCAAACAGACCAGUUGGAUAGAAACAUCCAAAUAUGGGCAUUUCCAGUUAGGGUCUUGGAAACAGUCUUAUCUUCAGCAAGGUCAUUUAGCUCUAACUGUGACGUUUCCAGAGUUGUGUUAUGUGGCAAAUUACGUGGUGUAUUUCCACCCCUAACUCCCAUCCCCUCCAUUUACUACAUACUCCAUAUAAUACAAAACCAGCUAAUGAGUUGGUUUAGUGUGUUUUGGAUGUGUUCCAGUCCUUAUUUCAGUGCAUAGUGGGUAACUCAGGGCUUUUAGAACAAGUCAUACAGGAACGUUUCACAGCAUAUGAUAAAAUACAAUGUCUGGCAGGGAACUAAACUUAUAACCAUCUCCGGAAAAGAACAGUGUGUGAUGUUCUUAUCUGAACCAGCAGCCUCUGAGUCCUCACUCAUUAACAUAAGCACCACUAGCACCAUCCCACUUGCCACGGUGGUGCUUGCUCUGAGAAGCCAGUAUCUUACUGAGCACAGAAGGAUGUAUUUGAUGCUCCAUACAUGAAAAUUCCCAUCAGUCCAAAGAUGUGUUGAUUUGGUAGACUAGGACAAAGUUUGGUGGAAGGCAUAUGAAAUGCUUUAGUUUAAGAGAUGCACUUUUUUCAAUAGGCAGCUUGGCAACUAUAUAUUAUGGCUUGGUAUCUCUUUUGGUAAUAGGUAGCUAAUUUUAAAGCCUUGCUGUGUUUUUCAGUUUCUUUUUUUACAUUGUGCCACAUAAAUGAAGAUAAUGAUUAAGUGGCUUUAUAGUUCCUAUAUAAAGGUACUGUGAUUGACCUUGCUUAGCACAGAACUAAUCACAAAUUAGAGGAUUUGGAUGGAGGUACUCUACUGUCUAUUCUAGCUGAGAUGGAAGAGCUCCAGGACAAUAUCUUGUCCUGAUGAAAAUAAAUUAGCAACAUUUUUACCAUAUGCUUUCAUUUAUUCUGUGGAAAAACAAGGUCCCAGGGCCUUCAUCUGAGCAGAAGAAAGGAGGGUAUCCAACGAAGUCCUGCCCAGAAAUAGUGGGGCUGGACUGCCAUCAUGCUUGCAGAGAUGGUCAUCAUCCCUGUCAUGUUUGGCUGCCUGUGUCUCCCGGUGUUCAUAUGUUUACAUUUCCACUUAAAUGUAGCUGCAAGUCUGAUUUUUUGCAGUGUUAGCAUGCUUGGUUUUGGUAGGUAGUUGCAAUGGUUCAGUAAUACAUUUCACUUGGAUUUUAUUAAUCUGCCCCCAGCUGUAAUUCCAUUUUAGCCUAGUUUUGCCUAAGGAAUAUGAAAUGUUCUCUUAUUCCCAGAGCAACAGAUGCAAAUACUAUCUUGAGGAUGGGAAGCUUAUCAAAUGCCUGGUACAAUACAUUUCACUGAUGUUUCAAGGAAUGCUUUGUCACAGAAUCAAAGAAUCAUAGAAUGGUAGGAGUUGGAAGGGAACUCUAUAGAUCAUCUAGUCCAAUCCCCCUGCAGAAGCAGGUCAACCUAGAUGAGGUCACACAGGAACCUGUCCAGGUGAGUUUUGAAAAAAAAUGCAUUUCUUUGAGACGAGACGCUGCUUUCUGACCUCUGGAUCACACUGAACAUUUUACCUUAUGGAAGCUGUGGGGGAGCGUGCCUUAGUUUUCCUUUAUUUUCCUAACCAAAUUGUAACUCUGUGCAUUCUUUUAUGGAUGAGUCUUAUACACUACAGAAAAACACUGGGGUUUAUCCCACUUUUCCCUUUUGUAAUAUGCAGAGUUUCUUCUUUUGAUCAAAAUCAGUUUUGACCAUGCCUGGGAGACACAGUGAUGAAACCAGAUGAAACAUCAGGGCCCUUUUCCUACUGGAGCAGAGUUGGAAAGUGCCAGACAAUACCUAUGAGGCCACAGGUACCUGCUAGUAGGUUGUCUUCCUAGAAUUUAAUAAAGACUUCAGGCCAGAUUUGCACUACUGCUGAUGCCAAAACCUUCCUGACUUGCCAUUUGAUCUUGCCACCCGCCUGCUUCUGAGAGGCCUAUUGGGUGUGAGCAAACCCUGUGUUGCUGCCAUCCCUUGUAAGUGAAAACCAUAUGAACUAUUCAUCUGAAAAUCAGGCCCACAUUUCUGUUGUGCCAGAUGUUUUUGAGGGAAAUUUCAGUCACAGAGAGUGAAUUCUCAACCAGAAGUUUGUCUUUCCUUUCCUUUCCUUUCCUUUCCUUUCCUUUCCUUUCCUUUCCUUUC